GGCUGGCGCUCCAAACCGUUAGACCUGACAAGGUUGCCCUCCCUCUCUCGCGACGCCUUUCACAACAUGUAUUAUAACUCUUUCCACCAAUUUCAAAUAGUGCGGCUUAAAAGAUGAAGGAGAGCUAAACAAACCAGAAAGAAAAGAAAGAAAAAAUCCGCACCCAAUUUCGUAUCUCCAGUUGGUAAAGAAUGUAGCUGUCCGCUAUUUUGGAACGUCUCGUAUUUCUGAGUCUUUCACAAUGUGAAGUACUUCAUAAAGACAGUAAAAUCCUCUCAAGAUCAUAAAGAUGCUUUUGAAUCCAUGGUUUCCCAAAGGAGGGAAAGCGCCAGGACAUUAAUAUAAUUCAUGUGUAGCCUUUGCUUUGCCUUUAAGUGGACGAGCGUACUUUGAGCUCUUUGCCUUUAAGUAGACGAGCGUAAUUUGCACUGUUCUAGUUGUUGAGGAGUACAAAAAGAGGAAUAAAACAAUGCCUGCCCACAAGAGAAACUCACGGUCUACACUGCAAAAAUAAAUCCUACAAUUACAAAAAAAACGGUCUUGAAACAUUGUAAAACAUCAUCGAGUAGAAAACAAACGCGGCAUAAGGAAGGUAGUGCAGUGAUGUGGGAAGGAUGGUGAAGGGACCGUGGGCUGGGCUGUUAGAAUGCAAGGGGUGGCAAUUCUCACAUUACUAAUUGUGUGACUUGGGCAAGCUGCUUACCUUUUGUGUGCCUCUAUUUCCUCAUUUGUACAUUGGAGAUAAUAUAUACCUGUAUUAUGAAAAUUAGUGAAUACGUGUAAGGUGCUUAGCGUAUAUUCUGCAGAGACAAGAAAGAUCAAUUUAGGUAUCCAUUUGCAACAUAAUUCCAUAGCCAUGGCUAUUAUCCCUGGGAAGAUUCCAAUCUGACUCUACAGAAACUGGAAAUAAAUUGCCCUUUAAUUGUGGCAUUUGGAGACCAGCAGGUGUGCCCAGAAGUGUGGUAAUAUUCGUCCAUCCAUUCAUCUAUUCAUUAUUAAUUGCCAACUACAAAUAGUACACAUUGCUAAGUGCUGAGGGUACAAAAUCGAGCACGACAAAACAUCUGCCUUCCUGGAGCUUAUAUCCUAGUAGGGGAAACAGAAAAAAAGAAGGAAAGAACUGCAUAUAAUAAUAUUAAGUCGUGAUAAAUGCUGUGAACAGCCAUAAAUUAGUGUAGGGUAUAAUGGCAAUUGGAGGCUAUUUUGGAAAGAGUGGUCAAGGAAGUUGUCUCUAAAGAGGUAACAUUUGAGCACAGAAGGAGUGAGAGAGAGAGGGGGAUACAAAUAUUUGAGAAAGUGAGAUGUUCUAGACAAAGGAAACAGUACAUGAAAAGUCCGGAACAAGAAACAAGGCACAUGGAUUUGAGGAACAGUGGGAGGGCCAGUAUAGCUAGAAGACAGUGAGUGAGAAGGAGGAGGAGGGGGUAAGCAGUUGCGAUCAGAGGGACAGACACCAUCAGAACACACAAGGGCUCGAUCACAGAUUCUGUUCUAAAUGUGAGAAGUUAUUGGGUGCUUUUAAGUGGAGGAGAGCAUUGUUUGGCUUACAUUGUAAUAGGAUAACUCUGGCUGUUCUCUAGAAUAGGGAGUAGAGAAAAAGUAGGAAGAUGAGUUAGAAGGCUAUCAUUGGGAUGUGUAAGAGAUGAAGGAGAGUUUAGACCAGGGUGAUAAUGAGUGUGUUGGGAAAUAGACGAAGAUAGAACAGUGGAUUGGAUGUGAUGUUGGAGAAACUGGAUACAUGAUGGAUUUGUUUCCUGAGAUAUGGGUGGUGGUUGGAGAGCAAUUGGAAGAGAAGUGGCAGGAAAUCAAGGGUAUCAUUUGAGACAAGUAAAUUCUGAGAUGCCUA
rnacentral:lncRNA from 1 species